UACGUAGGGUGCGAGCGUUGUCCGGAAUUACUGGGCGUAAAGAGCUCGUAGGUGGUUUGUCGCGUUGUUCGUGAAAACUCACAGCUUAACUGUGGGCGUGCGGGCGAUACGGGCAGACUGGAGUACUGCAGGGGAGACUGGAAUUCCUGGUGUAGCGGUGGAAUGCGCAGAUAUCAGGAGGAACACCGGUGGCGAAGGCGGGUCUCUGGGCCGGAACUGACGCUGAGGAGCGAAAGCGUGGGUAGCAAACAGG
rnacentral:rRNA from 1 species